CUGGUGUGGAGAGGAGUGUAAUGGCCGCCGAAGAGGAGCCAGUCUACGCAGACAGGAGGAGCAGGAAACGCUGAAGAGUGAAGACAGAAGAAGCAGUUACAGAAAAAAAGGACUUCAGAGUAAUGGGUCCAGCAGAAGAGGAGCCUACGCAGAGAGGAGGGCCAUCAACAAAAGGACUGGAAAAGCUGCAGAAAAAGGUAUUGUCGCACGGUGAAGACCUUCUCUCGCUGUCCGAUUGGAGUCAAGUGAGAAUGUCCGUAAGACUCCAGAAUGUGGGGUUAUUUUCCAGAGCUCCCAAGAAAGCAGCCCACUCUUGCAGACGCCUGUGCACAAUGACAUGAACACAGAGCAGCCAUGAUGAUAUGUGAAACCAGUGGGAAGGUGCAGAACAAAGGCAAAGAUGGUAUCUGUUGCAGCAGGAACUUAUUCAUGGCUGGUUCGGUGCAAUCGUCCUUUGUUGGGGGGAUAUUGCUUCUAUUUAUCUGUAAUGCAUGGGACUUUGGUGUUCUGUUGAAUUUAUUUACCCGCAGAGCUGCCAAGAGAUCUGUCGGAUCCCAGUAUUUGGGGAGGGGUGGGGCAUUGUCAAACGCGUGGGUGGUUGCUCUUUGCAGAAGCUGCGACAAUUUAUUUUUCAUUACUAUUCUUUUGUUAAUUUCCCUACUAUUGAUGUAAGGCUUCCAGGUCUAUAGUUAUUCAUACUUUUUCUCACCAAGUGGGACUAUAUUGGUCAUCUUCCAAUCUCAUGGGGUUACACCAGAUAGCACUGAUUGGUUAAUCUCACUGCCAGCAUUACUCUGCCUUACCAAUGGCCCAUUUUUGCCAGUGACACAGCAUUUUUUAUUUCACUCUGUACAUGAAAUACAAUAAAUAACACAGCUAUUGUCGCCAAUAACUCCCACCAGAGGUAUUUGCCUUUGCAUGGGGAAGCCAAUGUAGUUAUUGUAAUAAAUACUGUGGCGGUUCUAGUUCCA